UUAAUGAUAUGUGUCUGUGGGUUGGUACAGUUACUCAAAACACUUUAAAUGAAAAAUAGUAAACAUCAAAGUGUUUUGAGUAACUGUACCAAACCACAGACACAUAUCAUCAACAA
rnacentral:pre_miRNA from 1 species